rnacentral:rRNA from 1 species
UACGUAGGGUGCAAGCGUUAAUCGGAAUUACUGGGCGUAAAGCGUGCGCAGGCGGUUCGCUAAGACAGAUGUGAAAUCCCCCGGGCUUAACCUGGGAACUGCAUUUGUGACUGGCGGGCUAGAGUAUGGCAGAGGGGGGUAGAAUUCCACGUGUAGCAGUGAAAUGCGUAGAGAUGUGGAGGAACAUCGAUGGCGAAGGCAGCCCCCUGGGCUAACACUGACGCUCAGGCACGAAAGCGUGGGGAGCAAACAGG